rnacentral:rRNA from 1 species
UACAUGGGGUGCAAACGUUGCUCGGAAUUAUUGGGCGUAAAGCGCACGUAGGCGGUUUGUUAAGUCGGAUGUGAAAUCCCUCGGCUCAACUGAGGAAGUGCAUCCGAAACUGGCAAGCUUGAGUACGAAAGAGGGUCGCGGAAUUCCCGGUGUAGAGGUGAAAUUCGUAGAUAUCGGGAGGAACACCGGUGGCGAAGGCGGCGACCUGGGUCGAUACUGACGCUGAGGUGCGAAAGCGUGGGGAGCAAAUAGG